AGGAGAGAGAAGAUGGGCUUUCAUGAGGUCGUGAUGGUCUUAUCCCAAACGUCAGUCGUAGGGUUUGGGCCACUGCUACUCCAUUUCUUUUGUCUCACCUUCUUCACCUCUCUUCUUUACUCUUGUUGUUUCUCUUGUUCUUUUCCUCUCUCUCUCUCUCCUCUCUCUCUCUCUCUCUUACACUUAUAAUUUCACGUAUAAUUGCGAUCCAGACUCCUGUUUGCUUCUUCCAAAUCUAUAGGGUUGAGAGAGAUGACAAAUCAGGAAGUUUUUCUUUGAGGGGAAUGUUGUCUGGCUCGAGGACACUUUCGACUCACCUCUCUGUGGAAGAGACCUCGGACCAGGCUUCAUUCCCCCCAAUCACAGCUUCCGUCUCCACCAACUCACUGCAUAUGUUUGAAUCGCAGAUCUGCAGCACAACAUUUCACCUCUUCUCCAUCCCCAAGACAGAAGAAGAACAUCGAGCAAAAGACACCAUAGGAAAAUGAGCCAUAAAGCUAAUGCCGACAGUACUUGCAGAUAGCUGUUUAAUCACAGUACAUGAGUAGGUCCUGCGGUCAAACAUGUUAGGGUUAGAGAGAUACAAGCUUAGUGGUGUCGUUCACCGGCAACCUUGUCCUAUUGGUGUACACACCAUGGGAAUAUGGUGAUGGCAACCUCUCUCUCUCUCUGGCAGGAAGCUCUCGACUCUUGCUCGCUCCUUCUCUUACCAUCAGGCAUGUUCUUGGGAUGGGGAGUGAUGCCUUUUGUGCGUUGGGGAAUAUGAGCUUUAUCUUGGAUUUUGAUAUGCUUUAUUAUGGGAGUCUCACGUCCACAACUUUCCA